rnacentral:piRNA from 1 species
UUAAUCUUGAAUAGUAUAAUA